rnacentral:sRNA from 1 species
AACCCCGGCCGAACGGCCACCCAGAGGCUGUGCUGAGCUGGCGCAGCGGCAGCAGCAUGAGCCGGACCCUCGCAUCGGCCGUGCCCCUGUCGAGUCCCGACUACUACGAGAGGCUGGGCCAACUCCAGCACGGGCUGCGGGACAGUGAAAAGAAGAGAUUGGACCUGGAAAAGAAACUUUAUGAAUAUAAUCAGUCUGAUACAUGCAGAGUUAAGCUGAAAUAUGUAAAACUAAAGAAUUAUCUGAAGGAAAUAUGUGAAUCUGAAAAGAAGGCUCAUACUCGAAACCAAGAAUAUUUAAAGCGAUUUGAGCGUGUCCAAGCUCAUGUUGUACACUUCACCACAAAUACAGAGAAGCUUCAAAAACUGAAGGAAGACUUUAUGCAGUUAUCACUUCUUUUUCCUUCAGCAAAAUGAAUUGAAUAAAACUCUUAUAUUUCUAUGAGAAAGUGCUCUGUCUUUGGAAGCUUGAAUAUGAGACUCAAAUUAAGAAGAUGCUACGCUCAAAAGAUAGCCUGGGACUAAAAGAGGAACUGACAGAUGAAGACAGAGAAAAGG